UACGUAGGGUGCGAGCGUUGUCCGGAAUUAUUGGGCGUAAAGGGCUCGUAGGCGGUUUGUCGCGUCGGGAGUGAAAUCCUCUGGCUUAACUGGGUGCUUGCUUUCGAUACGGGCAGACUAGAGGUAUGCAGGGGAGAACGGAAUUCCUGGUGUAGCGGUGAAAUGCGUAGAUAUCGGGAGGAACACCUGUGGCGAAGGCGGCCCCCUGGUUGGAUACUGACGCUGAGACGCGAAAGCGUGGGGAGCAAACAGG
rnacentral:rRNA from 1 species